UUUCCGUAGGUGAACCUGCGGAAGGAUCAUUACAGUGUUCUCUGCCCUCACGGGUAGAAACGCCCACCCUUGUAUAUUAUAUCUUUGUUGCUUUGGCAGGCCGCCCUCGGGCACCGGCUCCGGCUGGAUCGCGCCUGCCAGAGGAAACCCAAACUCUGAAUGUUAGUGUCGUCUGAGUACUAUCUAAUAGUUAAAACUUUCAACAACGGAUCUCUUGGUUCCG
rnacentral:misc_RNA from 1 species